GUUGGCAGCUAGCUCUCUGCAACUCUCACAUUGUCGUCCAUUGAAGCUAAGCAGGGCUGUGCCUGGUCAGUACCUGGAUGUGAGACCACAUGGGAAUGCUAGAUUGCUGCCAGAA
rnacentral:rRNA from 1 species